GAUGAACGCUGGCGGCGUGCCUAAUACAUGCAAGUCGAGCGAAUGGAUUAAGAGCUUGCUCUUAUGAAGUUAGCGGCGGACGGGUGAGUAACACGUGGGUAACCUGCCCAUAAGACUGGGAUAACUCCGGGAAACCGGGGCUAAUACCGGAUAACAUUUUGAACCGCAUGGUUCGAAAUUGAAAGGCGGCUUCGGCUGUCACUUAUGGAUGGACCCGCGUCGCAUUAGCUAGUUGGUGAGGUAACGGCUCACCAAGGCAACGAUGCGUAGCCGACCUGAGAGGGUGAUCGGCCAAACUGGGACUGAGAAACGGCCCAGACUCCGACGGGAGGCAGGAGUAGGGAAUCUUCCGCAAUGGACGAAAGUCUGACGGAGCAACGCCGCGUGAGUGAUGAAGGCUUUCGGGUCGUAAAACUCUGUUGUUAGGGAAGAACAAGUGCUAGUUGAAUAAGCUGGCACCUUGACGGUACCUAACCAGAAAGCCACGGCUAACUACGUGCCAGCCGCCGCAGUAA
rnacentral:rRNA from 1 species